UCGCUUUGGCAGCACAUAUACUAAAGUUGGAAUGAUACAGAGAAGAUUAGCAUGGCCCCUGCACAAGGAUGACAUGCAAAAUCACUACUAGGAAGAAUAAAAG